GAUGAACGCUGGCGGCGUGCCUAACACAUGCAAGUUGAGCGAUUUACUUCGGUAAAGAGCGGCGGACGGGUGAGUAACGCGUGGGUAACCUGCCCUGUACACACGGAUAACAUACCGAAAGGUAUGCUAAUACGAGAUAAAAUACUUUUAUCGCAUGGUAGAAGUAUCAAAGCUUUUGCGGUACAGGAUGGACCCGCGUCUGAUUAGCUAGUUGGUAAGGUAACGGCUUACCAAGGCGACGAUCAGUAGCCGACCUGAGAGGGUGAUCGGCCACAUUGGAACUGAGACACGGUCCAA
rnacentral:rRNA from 1 species